AAUUAAUGAGAAUUGGAAAAUGGAUUGUUUCCUUUUAUGGUAGUUGAUUCUAUCAGAAGGAUUUUAAGUAGGUGUCUGGGACUUUAGAUUAUUCAGAAUUAGCACAAAAACAUUUCAGUAUUCUCCACAUUUGUGCUAAAGGUGCUCUGGAAAGUUGAAACAGUAAAAAAAUUAUUUUGGGGGACAGUAAUAUUUGCUGGCAUUUAAUGAUCUCCAUUCAAUUCAUCCUAGUUUGUGUCCUGGUAUCUCAUUUGUAUCUAACCUUGGCUAUUUUGUAUAUUUCUCAGGUGAAUGUGACGAAGGAAGCACAUAUUUGUAGAUAAACUAUCCGAGGACAACAUCAUCAGGAACAUCCCUCUUUCUAUGGAAUACUUAAUUCAUAAAUCUUAACUGUGAACCACAGGAGAUGAGAGUUCUAAGAAGCCACACCUUUGCCAUCUUUCUCUUUAGUCACAAGACUUGGUACCACCAGACCUGUUGGGCACGCCUCACUCCAGUGCCCUUCACGCCCAUCAUUGGUCCCAGGAAUGCCCUUGGUGACGGCUGAAUAGGAAACUGAUGCCAUGGCGUCUGCACUUUCUUCACCGAAACCGGAAGAUUGUCUUCAUAAUGUAUGGAGACGCGUCUUGUGUUCCAGUGGACACUCCUUGCUGAUCAGAAAACUGGACUUAGCAAGCUCAUGUUUGAAAGUGACAAAGGGUGUCACUGGAGAGAAUUAAAGCCAGGCAUGUUGACUGUUGGACUGGAUCUCAGGAGCUGGAAUGGCAGAGACAUUAUUACAGAGAUGCUUAGGGAGUGUAAUUGCAAGGUCUCGUUCCAGUGCCCCCAUGAGUAUUAAGUACAUGUAUUUAUAAUUUUCACUAUCACAGAGUUCGGUUUUUUAAAUUAAACUGUAUUGGGGUGACAGUAGUUAGUAAAGUCACAUAGGUUUCAAGUGUACAAUUCUGUAAUCCAUCAUCCAUA